CAUAUAUUUCAUAAUGAUCCAACCUGCUGGGGUAGCCCGCUGUGUUGUCUUUAUCUGUAUGUGGUAAACCCAAAGGGUUGAUCUGGAGUUGAACGAAGCUGUAGCACUGUACAAUGUGCCUCUGUGCACAUCUGACAAAGGGGCUUUUGUAGCACACGGUCUGGUGUACCCACGGCUUGUAUUUCACCUCUGCUCCCUAGGGACAGCUAUGCAGUCAAGGACACGGGGAGAUCUGCAACUGGAGAACGAGUCGCGGGGCACACUCACGGGAGCAGGCUGUCUCCUUUCCCCCAAAGACUAGCAGCAGCCUCGGAGGACUCCCCCACAGAGUUUGAGGGGUCUAUGGGAGUGUAUUUGCUAACGUUUUUGAGUGUUGGAAUCUUUUUAAAAAGAGUUCUCUACAACACCUUUAUGUCAUAGUAUAUAUAGCCUAUAAUAAAUAACAAGCUUUUGGAGACUAGGCCUACCUCUACAAAUUACAGUAAUUUACAGUAGGCCUAGGCUAGAGCUAAACGCCUAAUUCUGACAAGAGAUUAAAUAUCUGAAACCGUACUGCCAGACCAAAUGAAUCAUACGGGAUCGCACACCAUACACACAACCAUACUGUUCACUUGUUACAUCCAUAGCUCUUGGCUCAGUGUGUCUACCUCCUGACGUGGAAAAGACGCACUACAAUAAUGUCAUCCAGCCACCGCUGUCGUUACUACACGUGCGCUGAAACGUGAGCAUUUCGUGAAGAUAUCGACGGAUAUCAGUGUGCGAACAGGAGGCUCUAUAAUGCACAGGGUCUCCAUAGUAACCUACACCUGCAACUGAAGAAAACAAACGAUCAUCUUUGCUUCAGUGCCGCAAAGCCUGCCCUGGAAAUCCAAGCAUGUCAAGUACACUGACCGCCUGCUGUACCAAUUACGGAGAAGAGCGGAUUUUUAAAGGACCGAGGAUAAAGUAUUUGCCGAACUAGGUUAAUUCUUGGUGGGUGUAGCUGGGCUUCGGAUUGGUCUGAUUAUAAUCUGCUAAUAUAAUCUUUGUUUGGCUAAUUCAUGGCUAGUUAACGUUAGCUAGCUGUCUCGCCGCGCUGCUUAGAAUUUACUGGUGCUGAUGUCAGGGAAUCGAGCCAGAAGAGGAAUGUUUCACUGACGCAACUUUGAAAAUGUAGCUGGGACUUGCAACAGCGUUAGAAUACUACAGAAAUGCGAAUGUUUUAUCUCAAUUAACAGAGACCGUUAUCUUACGGGGAUUGCUCUCCUUUUGUCCCGACGUGUUAAGGUUUGCUUCAGGUUGAAAUGUAACGUUAGCGCAAGUUAUCCAUAACUAAACUGAUGUAACGUUAACGCCAAGGACCGCUAACGUGUUGGAUAAUUGGUUUGCUAACGUUAGUUUGUUAUUUGUGUUGCCCUCUUAGCUGAUGGGAAGUGAUAGUUUGAAUAGCCACCUUAAAACAUCAGCAAUAUUUUGCGUGUUUUAAUAAUGUUUCUUCAUUUAUCGUCGGUUUACCUAUCACGUUAACCUAGCUAUCAGUCAGGCCAGCUAGGACGAUUGCAAACAUGCUACCAGGCUCCAUCCAAAUAACGGGAGAGACUCUGUCUGGGGCCGAGGUGAAGGAUAUCUGCGACAGUCUCAAGGAAAACACCGUGCGACUGCUAUCUGUGAGAGGCUGUCAGUUUUCCGACCGGGACUUCGGGCGGGUGUGUCGCGGAGUGGCCGAGUCCCAUUCCCUGGCGCAGCUCAACCUCAACCUCGGCGUGGUGUCCAGCAUCACUCGGACGAAGCAGUUGGCAGACGCACUCAAGGCCAAUAGAUCGAUCCAAACACUCUUCCUGCACGGUAGCCCCCUCCUGGACGCAGGCUUGGUGUCUCUGAACACGGCGCUGUGCACUCACCCGUCCCUGGUGUCGCUGGACCUGGGAGAUUGCAUGCUGGGAGACGAGGCCGUGCGGCUGAUCUGCGGCAUGCUGCCCCCAGAUGGAGCCAAAUCUGGGCUGCGGGAGUUGACCCUGAGUGCCAACCCGGCCAUCAGCACCAAGGCCUGGGCACGACUGGCCGUCGCAGUGGCCCACAGCUCCCAGCUCCGCGUCCUCAACCUCGACUACAACCCGCUGGGCGACCAGAUCGCAGGCAUGCUGGCGGUUGCUGUGGCGUCCAGUAGAACUCUGGAAGUCCUGGAUUUGGAAGGGACCGGACUUACCAACCAGUCAGCGCAGAUCUUCCUGGACAUGGUGGAGAACUACCCGACGUGUCUGCGCGUGCUGGUGCUGGCGGAGAACGCCAUCAGCCCGGAGCUUCAGCAGCAGAUCUCCGACCUGCUCUCAGAGGGGGAGGGGGAGGAGGAGGAGGACAAGGAAGCGGAGGCGUGUGCAGACGCUCCCCACGCUCCCCUGGAGAAGAGCGCCUGGAUCCCCCACAGCAGUAAGGGCUAGAGCGGCCAACCAGCGGCCAACCAGCGGCUAACCAAGAGUUCCGCUGCUGAAUGUCCACCUGCUGUCUCUGGCUGUAACCUCUCCAGGCUCGUCCGGCCGGCAUGUGGUCCUGCUCACCUCAGGCCUGGGGGACAGCCUAUUGGCUGAGACAGAGAUGUGACCCGGGUCGUCGUCACGGUAGCACCCUGAGUGACGUCACCCGUCCACUGCAUGAAACGUAGCGCUGGUGCCCUGGCUGCAGAGGCCGCCGGUUGCCGUAGCGAUGCUGGCACUGUCAUCCUCAGACACCAAGUGACUUAUUAGAACACUCUAAAAGUGAAUUAUUUAUUUUCCAUAUCUACGAGUUUAUUUAUAAUAUAUUAAGUAUUUAAACAUGUAAGCAAUGAUGGUGUGCUAUGAUAGAUUGGCUUCAUAGGAAUGUACUGGUGGCCUGAUAGUACUUAAAUAAAUAUGUUUACAUCUUUCUAAA